rnacentral:rRNA from 1 species
ACGGGUGCGUAACGCGUGGGAAUCUGCCCUUUGGUUCGGAAUAACAGCUGGAAACGGCUGCUAAUACCGGAUGAUGACGAAAGUCCAAAGAUUUAUCGCCAGAGGAUGAGCCCGCGUUGGAUUAGGUAGUUGGUGGGGUAAAGGCCUACCAAGCCGACGAUCCAUAGCUGGUCUGAGAGGAUGAUCAGCCACACUGGGACUGAGACACGGCCCAGACUCCUACGGGAGGCAGCAGUGGGGAAUAUUGGACAAUGGGCGAAAGCCUGAUCCAGCAAUGCCGCGUGAGUGAUGAAGGCCCUAGGGUUGUAAAGCUCUUUUACCCGGGAAGAUAAUGACUGUACCGGGAGAAUAAGCCCCGGCUAACUCCGUGCCAGCAGCCGCGGUAAUACGGAGGGGGCUAGCGUUGUUCGGAAUUACUGGGCGUAAAGCGCACGUAGGCGGCUUCGUAAGUCAGAGGUGAAAGCCUGGAGCUCAACUCCAGAACUGCCUUUGAGACUGCAUCGCUUGAAUCCAGGAGAGGUCAGUGGAAUUCCGAGUGUAGAGGUGAAAUUCGUAGA